rnacentral:rRNA from 1 species
CACGUAGGGUGCGAGCGUUGUCCGGAAUUAUUGGGCGUAAAGAGCUCGUAGGCGGUGUGUCGCGUCGGCCGUGAAAACCUGCAGCUUAACUGUGGGCUUGCGGUCGAUACGGGCAUCACUGGAGUUCGGCAGGGGAGACUGGAAUUCCUGGUGUAGCGGUGAAAUGCGCAGAUAUCAGGAGGAACACCAGUGGCGAAGGCGACUACCUGGCCUGUUCUUGACGCUGAGGCGCGAAAGCUAGGGGAGCAAACGGG